AUGGCCGUGACGCUAUGGUCAAUUUGGUAUGCUAGGCGCAAGGCAGUCUACGAGGCCAUAUUUCAGAGUCCGGAACAUACUGUUUCUUUCAUAAAUAACUUCAUUGCGGAACUAGGGCAAGUGCAAACUAAAGAUGAAGGAAGAAGAACCCCGGGCGUUCCCUCUGUACAGGUGAACAGGUGGCUGCCUCCCCCGACUGGCACCGUCAAGGUGAACGUGGAUGGGGCAGUAGCUAGGUCACGCCAUGGAGGAGCGGUCGCAGUAGUGUGCAGAGAUGAGACAGGCCUAUAUCUCGGAUCAUCGGCUAUCGUUAUCCAAGGUAUAAAUGACCACGUGGUCUUGGAGACCUAUGCGUGUCGUGAAGCCUUAUCUUUGGCGGAUGAUCUUGCAGUACAGUCUAUAUGCGUUGCCUCGGAUUGCCAGGGAGUCGUGACUGAUAUUGAGAAAGGAACCGGAGGCACAAAUGCUGCUAUAGUGCAUGAGAUCAAAAUUCAUUGUAAUAGCUUUACUUCUUGUUUUUUCAUCCAUGAGCGUAGGAACCAUAAUUAUGAGGCUCAUAAUCUCGCCAAGUUUGCUUGUAAUCUAGAUGUAGGUAGACAUGUUUGGUUGGGCAUUCCUCACGACCCAAACCGUGUACCUAUGACAUUUGCUGAUAAUUAA
rnacentral:rRNA from 1 species